UUUUACAUGUAUGUGGCUACAGAAACACUUGAAGAAGCUGUACGGAUAUUUUAAAUCUAUUUACUCAUUACUCUUUAGUUGUCAGAGAGCAGUGCUCCUGCUUGACCAUUCAUUACAUGAUCCAAGUAAGUUAACAGGAGAGGAAUAAAACCGUUUUUAAGAGGUUUUGACCCACAGUUUUCUUCUGAAGACCUGAAGAGAUGAGUAAAUGUGUUUUCACAAUUUACCAGUGAUUGCAAAGGGUCACUUCUGACUCUCUUUAAAACAGUGACCUUUUUCCUCAUUACCUCUUGGUAUUAUAACUUAGAUUUGUCAUGUAGUUCCUGCUUUCCUGGCGCAGGCAGCAGUGCUUUUCCCUACAAACCUGAAUAUGUUUGAAGAAGAUAGGCAACGAUUCGGUAGGUAGUGUUGGCAGUUCUUAAUGCUGGUAACUAAUUCAAAGAGCUGGCAUCUGCAAGGAAAAUGUGCAAGAGAUCAAUAAUUCAUAACCUUAUAAAUUUUCAAAAGGAGAACAGCAAAAGGAAGGAAUGGGGUUUAUUAUGAAAAACAGCCAGUAAUUGAAAUAAAGAUGUAUUAUAAGAGUGAGUCAUACAGGAAAAGAAGAAACAAAAAGCCAAGUCAAGGAUAAAGAUACAGCUGAAAAAAACCCCAAUAUGUUGAGCUAGGCAACAUACCCAGAGCCUUUAGAGCAAGCCUUUUAACUACUCUAACACAGCCAGCCAAACCUGCUGUCUUUCAGUUUCUCUGCAUAUGAUCGCAUCCUUUGAAGAGCAAGUUACUAGACACUAUUACGUGUGCCAUCCUUCCGCUAUCACACAGCACAGCCAUCAACCUAUCCUACUCCGUAAAUAACUGUCUUCAUUACGUGAACCAUAAAGAAAGCUAUCCCAUGCUUUUCAACAGGGCUAGUAUAUUCUUCCAUGAUAACACAUCGCUGUUGAUCACCUCCGUGCUGCUGCCAUGCCCUCAAUCUCACCAGCACGCAGACAGAGCUGCCUCACUCUGCUUCUGAGAGAAGCAAAACCAAAGCAUCCCAAGUUAUUUCUAACUUGCACCUGAAAGGAAUCAAAAAAGAAUCAAAGGAAUAAAAGAAUAGCUUCUCUGUUUGCUGGGGGAUCAUGAGAUAAAGGAGGCCCUUUUGAAGUUAAUUUCUCUUGAAUAAUCAAGUCAGGAGUAGGUCUUUUUGUGACAUACAAAUGGAUUCUGUUCCCCCUAAUUACUAGGAUGUUGCUUUUUAAGCAUUCAAUGCUUCUGCGUGGGAGUUUCAGAAGCUGUUUUAGAGCUGAGGUACACAGAAGAAUCAGCAGCAGCUUCAAGGGACUUUGUGACACAGACCUGUGGACCAAACUGCUUCUGUUCCAAUAGACCAGGGAUUCCUACACAGGGUACGUUAACACCGCAAUGUGAGCACAUACUGUAACAAGCACAUUUAGAUGGAAGUACGUUUAACCCACAGCAAGUCCAGAGACUUUUUAUACGUAUGGAGCUUUGCAAGAGAGUCCCCCGGUACCUUUAGCAUCCAAGCAGUAGCCCAAAGAUUUGCUGCUAUCAUUCUGUAACCAAGAUGCCUAAAUUGCUGCACAACUGUUGGCAGCGCGUUUGGAACUGGAAAAACUGCAGUUGUUGGGUUUUCAAGUUGGUUAGCACUGACAGUAUUCCCAACCCUGCCACGAUCUCCUGGAAUGGGAUGCAUUCACACAGAAUACUGUUAAAGGAUGUGGGAUUCAUCCACUUCAGGUUUGGCUUGCACCAAGAUUUCAUGCAGUGGAAUGGAUGUGCCUUUCUGAUACACAACUGCUACUGUUCUGUCACUUCAAGGAACAGAACCAGACCAAACUACUGCAAGUGCAGUAAUGCAGUGGCUGAACGGUGAGAAACAGAGGCACAACACUCCUGGUCAGGGAGCAAACAAAUAAUAAAAACCCAUGAUGCACUUGGAUUUGUGUUAAACACAGGAUCGUGACACUUGGGGUACGAAUACCUGAUACAAACUGCUUCAUGGUCUGUCUGGCAGUUGAACAGUGGGGGUCGUAACUGCCUCACUCAUAGCCACAGCAACUCUCCAGGAGUAAUUGUAAACUCGUACCAGAAUCAGGGAGAAAUCUUCCCCCCAGGAAUUGUUCCCAGACACUCUCUGGAAAAUUACUGCUUGGAGCAAGAGCAGCAAAUAUGUAAAUACGACUUGUGUUGGACAUUUCUUUUUCCACCUCAUUGCCCUCAAUAUGCUAAUAAAAAGAAAUGACUUUUCCUGGAGUAUAGGCUCACCCAUUCAUUACUUUAAAAACUGUCAAAAUAAUGUAAAGGGAAAAAAAAAAAAGCAAAACGCACAAAUGUAACAUGAACUGUAAUGAAAGAUUAGUUCCAAGUACAAUCAAUAUCUAAUUAGAGCAGCACAGAAAAGGCAAUACUUCUCAUGCUGUUGACCAGAAGGAUAUUUUUCCUCUACUUACGCUGAGACAUUUCCUUUAACUACGAUUUCAUGCCACACUAAUUUAGAAUGAAGAAAAUUACAAAACAAAUUCUCUUUCACCACGUGGUGGCUGAACUGCAGUGUUGCUAUGAGGUUCAAAAGCAGCAACUUCACUGCUAACUGCAAGGUGAGCUAAUGAAGCAAAUUGAAAAGCAAUUCCUUCCCUUUGUGUACCUACUAAUCUGCUAAAAAACAGUGCAUAUUUAGUACCUGGAAUCACUUGUUUUACUAGAGAACACGAAGCUCGAUUUCUAAUGAAAAGAACCCUGGCACCGCUUACAUUAAGCACAAAUUGAACUGUCUGCUCAUGUGAUCUAAUCACCAUGGUACCCAAAUGCUUUAUAGAUAACGAUAAAAACACAAGCCUUCAUUCUAAGAGCAUGUGAUCUGCCAAGGUAAAUUUACACAGGGAUGAGCUCAAAGAGAGCUGUAAUUCCAAGCGCAGGUCUAAACCCGGGCCGGGUAAGAUCACCAGUAUGAGGGAAUUCGCACACAAGUCAGAAAGGUUUGUUAUUUCUUCAAAAUAACCUUUGAUAAUCAUGAACUCUGAUGGUAGCUGCAUAAGAGACGUAUCUUAAGGCAGGUACAACAGCCAAGCAGGUUUAGAAGAUGGACUGAGGCAAGGAAUGUUUCCUGGAUCAAGUUGUCCAGCCUACAAACCAAGCGCGGAGAGAGGCAAUGACUGCUAUGCCAGCACCUGGGGGUACUGCAGUUAAGAUUUUAGGCAGGUUUCAUUAACAAAUAAGGAGACUCAAAUAACUCAAGAAUUAGAUUUUUCCUACGUUUCUUCUAUGUUUCUGAGGGAUUACGAUAUACUUGGUUCACAAAAUCGAUUUCCAUUUUGUAAUAUAAGAAAACAAACUAGGAAGAAAGAUUGAUUGAUUCUUAAUGCAAACCCUGGUUUCCUGGAGCUGAGCUUUCAAGUAAAACGUCAAACAGUACGGUCGCAUAGCAACCUCCCUGCCCUGAGUACAGGAGGACCGGUCGGCCAGUUCCACCUUUCCUGUUUCUCCAGGCUGCACAAACACAGCACUUGACUAAGAAAUAAUUACUGCAGCCCACACUGUGUUUUUAAAAGGCUUUGCAACCAGCAUAAACAUACACCAGAAAACAACUGUGGCUGUACGUAGAUGAAAGUGCACGACACCAAUUGCAGAAGUUCCCUCCCUGCUCUCCGACUUCCAAGGUGCACAGGAACACUCAGAGCCCGCUGUGCCCGAACUGACUGCACACACUCAGAGCUGUCGGGAUGUGGAGGACCCACAGCACCCGCAUUCUAAAUGGUACAUCCAGAAAUGUCUGCCUACACAUCUUCAGGAAAAAACCUAACCUGCCUCUGAGGAUAGCCAGCUGUUGGCUUAAACAACCUUCAGAGCUAUUUUCACUACCUAAACUUCCAGCAUUGAAACAGUUUUAAAAGCCAGCUCCAGCUUUCAGUUCUCUACAGCGUAUCUCCCAAAGAAUCCACCAGGCAACUUAAAUCCCUGGUGAUCAACGCCAGCACUGAUCCACAGCAGCAAGCGGUGGUACAGAAGGAGAACAAGACCUGGAAAAGAUCACUAGAAGGAAAAAAAAUAGUAAAAAACUUGCUCAACCUAAAUGGGGAUUAUUUGUGCUUAGCUUGGAAAGCUGAAAAGCUGCUUACAAAAAACUAAGUAGGCAAUAUUGUGUUAAAUAAACGCUAGCCAAUUCGAGCAAACUAAUUCACAUUGGGAAACUGGAGUUCAAUCCAUCAUUUUAACAACUUAUUACACUACCUAAGUGCAGAACUGCAACUAUGCAGUUUGCUACGACUGUUCUGUACUACGCACCCUCAUCAUUCACUAAUCCAUUCAUCUUGGUUUUCUGCUUAUUACUCAUUUCCUAAAUUUGUUUCUCCCCCUCAAGCUAAUUUUAAAACCUCUACUCUACCCAGAAGAAACUUCAACCACAUUUCACCGACAUCAUUUACCACUGCAUGUCAUCAAUUCCCUUCUUUUUACUUGCAAAGCAGUCUACGAACGUGAUGUCUGACUCCCUGGCUAUCAGGAGACGUGCAGCUCCAUGAGGUGACACAAGCCAUGUUUCCAUGUCUGUAACCCAGACUCUUUUAAUGACACACGACCCCUUCCUCAUGGUGAAUCUCUAUCUGGAGGAUAAGCACCAGCAUCUCUGACUGGCAGAAAAAAGAAGAGAAAAAGAAGAACAAGAAUGAAGCAAGACAAACUACUAACAAUAAAAGACAACUAUCUUUGGCAAUGCAAAACCAGCAACAGAUCCCACAUCUUUUUAACGUAUUUAUCUCUUCCUUACUCGAAACUAAACAGUGCCUGUGCUGGAAUAAGUCUAACAUAAUGGACAUGGUUUGCUAAUCCAGCCUCUUAAUUCAGCACCUUUAUCUCAUCCAUUGGCAUCAUGGCUCUCUGUAGCGCAGUGCUGAACCUGUCACAGAGAACAGGGAGAGAAAAUUAGCAGAAAGACAUCUCAGAGAAUAUUACUCAGGCAGACUCAGUGCCACAGCUCCUACCAAUCACAUACUGACACAAAUGGUCUCACACACACUCCUGAUAGUUGAAAGGCACUUAUGGGCCCGUUUUAAGCUGAGCCCUGUUACAUUCUCAUCACUACCCAUAUCCCCAUGGUUGCUUCCUUCUCUCUUCAGUACAAACUCCAACAGCUCCAGAGCAGAGUGCAAGAAAAACCUCGCAAAGCUUGGGUUCUACUUCCUUCCUCAUCUUUGCAGUUGAUGCUACCAAUUAGAGGGACACACCUCACUCUAGAACAGUGGAUGUCAACGGGGAACAGAACCAGUUUGACAGAAACAUGACAUUUAUUCUUAAUCACAGCCUAUGGAAAUAGAUGUUUAGACUAUCAUCUUUAGUUCAGAGAAUCCCCGUGGUGCUGUCAAUUAGGAAAGC